CGGGACGGGUGAGUAAUGUCUGGGAAACUGCCUGAUGGAGGGGGAUAACUACUGGAAACGGUAGCUAAUACCGCAUAACGUCGCAAGACCAAAGAGGGGGACCUUCGGGCCUCUUGCCAUCGGAUGUGCCCAGAUGGGAUAGCUAGUAGGUGGGGUAACGGCUCACCUAGGCGACGAUCCCUAGCUGGUCUGAGAGGAUGACCAGCCACACUGGAACUGAGACACGGUCCAG
rnacentral:rRNA from 1 species